AUUGAACGCUGGCGGCAAGCCUAACACAUGCAAGUCGAACGAGUGGCGGACGGGUGAGUAAUGUUUGGGAAAAUGCCUGAUGGAGGGGGAUAACUACUGGAAACGGUAGCUAAUACCGCAUACCAUAGUAUGAUCCCAGAUGGGUUUAGCUAGUUGGUGGGGUAAAGGCUCACCUAGGCUACGAUCCCUAGCUGGUCUGAGAGGAUGACCAGUCAAACUGGAACUGAGACAAGGUCCAGACGCCUACGGGAGGAAGCAGUGGGGAAUAUUGGACAAGGGGCGAAAGCCUGAUGCAGCCAUGCCGCGUGUAUGAAGAAGGCCUUCGGGUUGUAAAGUACUUUCAGCGGGGAGGCGUUACCCGCAGAAGAAGCACCGGCUAACUCCGUGCCAGCAGCCGCGGUAAUUC
rnacentral:rRNA from 1 species